rnacentral:rRNA from 1 species
CGCGGGCUACCAUGCAGUCGAGCGCCCCGCAGGGGGAGCGGCAGACGGGUGAGUAACGCGUGGGAAUCUACCCAUCACUACGGAACAACUCCGGGAAACCGGAGCUAAUACCGUAUACGUCCUUCGGGAGAAAGAUUUAUCGGUGAUGGAUGAGCCCGCGUUGGAUUAGCUAGUUGGUGGGGUAAUGGCCUACCAAGGCGACGAUCCAUAGCUGGUCUGAGAGGAUGAUCAGCCACACUGGGACUGAGACACGGCCCAGACUCCUACGGGAGGCAGCAGUGGGGAAUAUUGGACAAUGGGCGCAAGCCUGAUCCAGCCAUGCCGCGUGAGUGAUGAAGGCCCUAGGGUUGUAAAGCUCUUUCAACGGUGAAGAUAAUGACGGUAACCGUAAAAAAAGCCCCGGCUAACUUCGUGCCAGACCCCGGGGAAAAUAAA